AUUGAACGCUGGCGGCAGGCCUAACACAUGCAAGUCGAACGAGUGGCGGACGGGUGAGUAAUGUCUGGGAAACUGCCUGAUGGAGGGGGAUAACUACUGGAAACGGUAGCUAAUACCGCAUACCAUCAGAUGUGCCCAGAUGGGAUUAGCUAGUUGGUGGGGUAACGGCUCACCAAGGCGACGAUCCCUAGCUGGUCUGAGAGGAUGACCAGCCACACUGGAACUGAGAAACGGCCCAGACCCCGACGGGAGGCAGCAGUGGGGAAUAUUGCACAAUGGGGGCAAGCCGGAUGCAGCCAUGCCGCGUGUAUGAAGAAGGCCUUCGGGUUGUAAAGUACUUUCAGUGGGGAGGCGUUACCCGCAGAAGAAGCACCGGCUAACUCCGUGCCAGCAGCCGCGGUAAUUC
rnacentral:rRNA from 1 species